GGGAGAGGCGGCGACUGGGGAGUUUGCCGCCGCGGCGGGAGCUGCGGGUCUCUGGCUGCGUCAAGAUCUAAGAAACUGAACUGUCAAUAAGUAAACAAUUUUUCCACAGUGGAAUCUCACAAGAGAAAACACCACAACACUCACCAGGUGGAAAAAGUUUACUACGUGAUGACCAGACUGGAGCCAUGACAUAAGCUGCCACAAUUCCGAGAACUGGCCUCAGAGAAAUGGGAACAAACAGUCCCUGAAACUGAAGCUUAAUUGUACUUAAAACGAUCAAGAUGAUGCAGAUAGACUGCUGAUGACCAGUUUCAAGAAGACUGUCAGAACUGACUGCUAUUUCUGCAUGGAACCCCCUCCCUCUCUGUCUGUAAAAGCUCUUAACCUCUGAUUGUGCUAUUGCUAAGUCGCCUCAGUCAUGUCCGACUCUGUGUGACCCCAGAGAUGGCAGCCCACCAGGCUCCCCCGUCCCUGGGAUUCUCCAGGCAAGAACACUGGAGUGGGUGGCCAUUUCCUUCUCCAGUGCAUGAAAGUGAAAAGCAAAAGUGAAGUCGCUCAGUCGUGUCGGACUCCCAGUGACCCCAUGGACUGCAGCCCACCAGGCUCCUCCGCCCAUGGGAUUUUCCAGGCAAGAGUACUGGAGUGGGGUGCUGGGGAAAGUAAAGCUGUACUUUGAACAAGCAUCCACCACACCACACACACCUCCCAGUCCCUGGGAUCCAAAAUAAAGCAAACUUUCUUU
ensembl:lncRNA